CCAGACUCCUACGGGAGGCAGCAGUGGGGAAUAUUGCACAAUGGGGGAAACCCUGAUGCAGCAACGCCGCGUGAGUGAAGAAGUAUUUCGGUAUGUAAAGCUCUAUCAGCAGGGAAGAAAAUGACGGUACCUGAGUAAGAAGCCCCGGCUAACUACGUGCCAGCAGCCGCGGUAAUACGUAGGGGGCAAGCGUUAUCCGGAUUUACUGGGUGUAAAGGGAGCGUAGACGGUGAUGCAAGUCUGAAGUGAAAGCCCGGGGCUCAACCCCGGGACUGCUUUGGAAACUGUGGUGCUGGAGUGCAGGAGAGGCAAGCGGAAUUUCUAGUGUAGCGGUGAAAUGCGUAGAUAUUAGGAAGAACACCAGUGGCGAAGGCGGCUUGCUGGACAGUAACUGACGUUGAGGCUCGAAAGCGUGGGGAGCAAACAGGAUUAGAUACCCUCGUA
rnacentral:rRNA from 1 species